rnacentral:rRNA from 1 species
AGUGAACGCUGGCGGUAGGCCUAACACAUGCAAGUCGAACGGCAGCACAGUAAGAGCUUGCUCUUACGGGUGGCGAGUGGCGGACGGGUGAGGAAUACAUCGGAAUCUACUUUUUCGUGGGGGAUAACGUAGGGAAACUUACGCUAAUACCGCAUACGACCUACGGGUGAAAGUAGGGGAUCUUCGGACCUUGCGCGAUUGAAUGAGCCGAUGUCGGAUUAGCUAGUUGGCGGGGAAAAGGCCCACCAAGGCGACGAUCCGUAGCUGGUCUGAGAGGAUGAUCAGCCACACUGGAACUGAGACACGGUCCAGACUCCUACGGGAGGCAGCAGUGGGGAAUAUUGGACAAUGGGCGAAAGCCUGAUCCAGCCAUACCGCGUGGGUGAAGAAGGCCUUCGGGUUGUAAAGCCCUUUUGUUGGGAAAGAAAAGCAGCAGGUUAAUACCCCGCUGUUCUGACGGUACCCAAAGAAUAAGCACCGGCUAACUUCGUG